GUUAGGAAGGAAACAGACGGUUCUGGUGCUGGAGUGAUCCGGCCCGGAUGAAACGGGAAUCCGGUAGGUCUUCAUUUAUGAUUGAUCCGGAGCUGCCCCCGCAACUGUGAGCGGCGAGUGCUGGCACAAAACCCACUGGGUACCUCUGAGCGUUGUUCUCAAGGCUUCCGGGAAGGGGUGCCGGUCACAAGGAACCGCGAGCCAGGAGACCGGCCGUCGAUAGAGUUUAACC
rnacentral:ncRNA from 2 species